GACUGGGAUAACUCCGGGAAACCGGGGCUAAUACCGGAUGGUUGUUUGAACCGCAUGGUUCAAACAUAAAAGGUGGCUUCGGCUACCACUUACAGAUGGACCCGCGGCGCAUUAGCUAGUUGGUGAGGUAACGGCUCACCAAGGCAACGAUGCGUAGCCGACCUGAGAGGGUGAUCGGCCACACUGGGACUGAGACACGGCCCAGACUCCUACGGGAGGCAGCAGUAGGGAAUCUUCCGCAAUGGACGAAAGUCUGACGGAGUAACGCCGCGUGAGUGAUGAAGGUUUUCGGAUCGUAAAGCUCUGUUGUUAGGGAAGAACAAGUACCGUUCGAAUA
rnacentral:rRNA from 1 species